UAUAUAAGUCUAAAUAAAAUAAAAAAAAACCCACAAAGAUUAGCCUACUUAAUUACAUUAAUAUCUAGUAUUGAAUCAAAAUUAAUAAUCCAUUUAAAAUCUAGGAGAAUGAAACACAUACUACCUAAUUAUGAUAAAAUAAGAUUUAGAUAUCCGCCAAGAUAUUAUAAAUAUAAUUUAAAAUGAAUAAAGUACAACAAUAC
rnacentral:lncRNA from 1 species